CCAUCUUACAACCCCCUAAUAUAGUCCAUAAUGUACUGACUUUUUCCUUUUAGGUGAACCUGCGGAAGGAUCAUUAUAGAGUGGUAAACCCCCCGUAAAAAGGGGGGAACCCCCUGUCCUUUGCAGGCUCCUUUUUAUAAGGAGCUUUUUUUGAUUUUCUGCUUCGGUGGGGUUAUCCUACCGGAACAACCUCAAAACUCUGAAAAAAACGUUUCUGUCUGAGAACCUUUUUUAUAAUAAAAAGAAAACUUUCAACAACGGAUCUCUUGGUUCUGGCAUCGAUGAAGAACGCAGCGAAAUGCGAUAAGUAAUGUGAAUUGCAGAAUUCAGUGAAUCAUCGAAUCUUUGAACGCAUAUUGCACCCCUUGGUAGUCCGGGGGGUACACCUGUUCGAGCGCCGUUUAAAACCCUCAAGCAUAGCUUGGUGUUGGGUAAGGUCUUUUGUGAGACCUACCCGUAACUUGUAGGCGAUCAUCUUACUGUACCUUCAGCGUAGCAAGCUUAAUGCAUUCGCUCAGGGAAGGGUAAUUGUUUAAUCAGUCUAAAAAACCAUUUUUUCAAGGUUUGGCCUCGGAUCAGGUGGGGAUACCCGCUGAACUUAAGCAUAUCAAUAAGCGGAGGAAAAGAAACCAACAGGGAUUGCCUCAGUAACGGCGAGUGAAGCGGCAAUUGCUCAAAUUUAAAAUCUGAUUCCAUUUUGGGAUCCGAAUUGUAAUUUGUAGAGGAAGCUUCGGUAAGAAUACAAGCCCAAGUCCCCUGGAACGGGACGUCAUAGAGGGUGAGAACCCCGUUUGGCUCAGUGUUCAAACCAUGUGUUGCUCCUUCGACGAGUCGAGUUGUUUGGGAAUGCAGCUCAAAAUUGGUGGUAAAUUCCAUCUAAGGCUAAAUAUUGGCCAGAGACCGAUAGCGCACAAGUAGAGUGAUCGAAAGAUGAAAAGCACUUUGAAAAGAGAGUUAAAAAGCACGUGAAAUUGUUGAAAGGGAAGCGCUUAUAACUAGACUCUUUCAUGAAUUUUCAACCUACCUUUUGGUAGGCUCAAUUUUUCAUGUUUAGGGCCAAUAUCAGUUUAAAUGGUUACAUAAAGGCCCUAGGAAUGUGGCCCUUUGGGGUGUUAUAACCUAGGGUAUAAUAUAACCUGUUUAGACUG
rnacentral:rRNA from 1 species